rnacentral:tRNA from 1 species
AGGUUUUUAGUUUAAUGGUAAAACA